GACGAACGCUGGCGGCGUGCUUAACACAUGCAAGUCGAACGGAAAGGCCCUGCUUUUGUGGGGUGCUCGAGUGGCGAACGGGUGAGUAACACGUGAGUAACCUGCCCUUGACUUUGGGAUAACUUCAGGAAACUGGUGCUAAUACCGGAUAGGAGCUCCUGCUGCAUGUUGGGGGUUGGAAAGUUUCGGCGGUUGGGGAUGGACUCGCGGCUUAUCAGCUUGUUGGUGGGGUAGUGGCUUACCACGGCUUUGACGGGUAGCCGGCCUGAGAGGGUGACCGGCCACAUUGGGACUGAGAUACGGCCCAGACUCCUACGGGAGGCAGCAGUGGGGAAUAUUGCACAAUGGGCGGAAGCCUGAUGCAGCAACGCCGCGUGCGGGAUGACGGCCUUCCGGUUGUAAACCGCUUUCGCCUGUGACGAAGCGUGAGUGACGGUAAUGGGUAAAGAAGCACCGGCUAACUACGUG
rnacentral:rRNA from 1 species